AGUUUAUCUGUGAUGUUAAAACAUCUAAAUUUAUGAAUGCAAUGGUGAUUUUGAUGUUUAACUGAGAUAAGUA